rnacentral:lncRNA from 1 species
AUGGGAAACAAGGGUAAAAACGUGAAGACAAUUUUCAGGGAUUUCCUGCUGGCUUCCAAUUUGUUUGAAGCCUCUGUGACCAGUAAUUUAUUACUUUGCUGUUUACAGCUAUUGAUUUCACCCACAGAGCCUCCUGACAUCCAGCAGUGGGGUUUGAGAUGCAGAGGGCAGGGGCUGCUCCUCCUGGUGCUCCGGGGUCAGGCAGAAAGGUCAAACCAUUACAUCGUCUGAAUGAAAUGUUCCUGACUUCCUGUGAUCUAUAGGCGACUGGCCUGGAAGCCACUGGUAUUGUUCAGGUGUGUAAUAAUUAAUGCAGCACUAGAAUGACUCUCCUGGGAUGAACGGAGGGGUGGGAAUGCUGUCGAUUCCACACCCACUGAGGUCACAAACUGUCUCCGGAUCAAAAGGCCAAAACGGGAAGCCAAAGAGCAAUGCUACAAUGCUCAGUUUACUUAUUUACUAUCAGUUGUCUUAUUUGAAUUGAACACACUCUGUAAUUCCCUGGUAAAGCAGAUAUCUGUCUAUAUCUAUAAUUUAAUUGAUGUCAAAUAAUUGGCUGCUAUUACAGUGCCAUAUUACAAAACCACACUGUGAACCCACAUUAUACUUAUUUACUGAUUACAUAUUAUAUCAUAUUAUUUACCACACCUGAGUGUCAUUAUUUCCAGAGAAAUGAAAACGUUUGUGUGCGAUCUUUAAACAGGUGUGACUCCUAAAUAUAUAUUUAUAUAUUUAAUGAGUAUUUAAUUAAUUUGUUUCUUCAUAUACUUGUUAGCAGUGCAUACUUAGGUUGUUUAGUUUAUUGCAUUAUUUUGCAUGAUUCGUGCUGCCCUGAUGGCAAGUUGUGUUUGUAAUAUUCCACUCUGUUUAUAUAUGUUUAUUAAUCAUGGUUCAGCAGAGGAUAAAUUACAGUAUAAUGAGCAUUUAUUGACAUUUCUUUUAUGGACACUUUUGUAUUAAGUCAUACAUGUAAUAAAAUAAGUGUGAUGCAUGAGGACGCACACAGACUGAAAUGAUAUGGGCAAGCAGAGACAUGAAACAGCAAUCAAGUCUUUGAUGUGAGCCUCGGGCAACAAGUCAACCUGAACCUCCUUUACAAGGAACUAUUCAUAAUUGCUGCAUGUUCAUACAAAGACAUGCAUUGUUUCCUUCUCUGAUUCUCAAUUCGAAAAUACAUUCGCAUUAACACGUAUCUAAGUUUGACCUACUUUGUUUGAUAAAAUGAUCAUUUACUCAGGCCCUCCUCACAUCUGAGUCUAUCACUCUACGAGAGUCAAAAUAUUGCAUCGUCUAAAUGUUUUUAUUGUUCUGUUGCAAACAGCUUAAGGUGUUAAACAACCCGAGCAAAUUGAUUUUUAACCAAGAUAAACGUUUCCAUGGUGCUUUUUUCUUAAUUCCAGGAAGCUGGUGCUCAAUAAUCAACCCCUGUCACCGUUGAUGGAAGACAUCAGGAUUCACACAAUACAGCGUGUUAAACAUCAAACUGUGGUGUGAACGAAGCAUCUCUGCUCUCUAACUCUCUGACUGUGAUUCCUUACAGAAGCUGCUGCUGGUGACACUUCCAAUGAAACUCCAGCAGAAAUGAGCCUUACGAGGUACAGGCACUUGAAGACAAGAUAAUUAAGGACUCUGACAGCAUGAACACACAGUGGAGUGAGAACAGCUUUUAUUUAAGUUCACUAAUGGGCUGUCGAAUAAUGAGAGCCGUUGUUAAUUUUAGGAAUCCUUUUCCUCAUUAACACUCUUCGAGAAAACGAUCAUUGUUCCUGUCUCAGUUCCUGACUAAAUCUCUCUCAUCUACAUCCCUCCGUUUAAGCUGGUUUUAUAUGUACUGAACGUAAAUGGAAAUUUAUACUUCUAAAUAAAUAAAUUAAUAAAUAAAUGCAAUAUAAAGCAAUGCAUAGUUUCCCAAAUGUAAGGCAAUAUCAUCUGACCUUAGAAAAUAUGGGAAGUAAUGUGUGUCAUAUGGAUGGCUUUUAUGAAAUAUUUGUUUGUUAGUUGUUCUUUUUUUGUUGUUUUUUUUUUUGUAUCAGCUAUUGGAUUUUUUUUUUUUUUUUUUUUUUUUUUUUUUUUUUUUUUUUAGUUUAAAUCAUAAAUUUAGCUGGAAGGUGAAAAAAAAUACAAAAAAUAAAUAAAUACAUAAACCAAUAGAGGCUAUGAAGUUCUGCUUAAAAUAUUUUGUGUGUGUGUUUCACAGGAUAAAAGAAAAAAAAAAUAAUCUGAAUGACAUGAGGGCGAGUAAAUGAUGAAAACAUUUUCGGUUUUGCCUGAAUGACUCCUUUAAAGAAGCCAAACAGGAAGUGAUUUGUGCUUGUGCCCUUGGAGAAGAGAGAUCCCUGCAUCAACAAUGUUUGGAAUAAUCAAAUAAUCAAUCAGUUAAUUAAUUAGUCUGGUGAAUAAUUGAAGGUCUCAGUCCAGACUUCCUCUCUGAUCUGGAAGAAGCUGGCGUCUGAGUAAGAGCAUCAGACAGCGAUGUAUACAUCGCUUUAAUCAGCACUUUGAUCUUCUCUACAACACCCGUAUAAGUCAAUUAAAACUAGGCUGACGACGAUGAAUUAUGCAGCACAUUUAUUAAAACAUUUAUCAGCCAGACUUAUUAUAAAUAGAUGACUUUGGUAAAGACAGCGGGUGCAGAUGAAUAGGUCAGUUUAUUUGCUUCUCCGCUUGCUUUGUUGCUCCUGUUUGUCAUUUAUGUCUUUCAAUGAACCUGAACAAGACUUGCCUUGAUUCAUCAUGCCUGUUUUUUGAUUAAACAGGAAAUAUUGGAUGAUUUGCCCCAUAAGGCCCUUAUGCUUGGCUUAGCUUUGUCCUCCUGAAGGCACUACAGCACGCAUGCAGGCCAGCACACGCGUGUGCUUCGACAUCUGCCCGCAGGACGUGUCAGUGGAAACUUCUCGCAUCCGACUGAUCCAGCACAGACACUGGGAAGCUUGCAGGGCUGAAGACGUCAGAUGCAAACCCUCACAGUCAUGGAGAACAGAAAAAGAUCAGCUUCAGAAACGCAGUAUUACAUCUGGGAGAGAUGAUGGAAAAUGAACAAAACUCAGCAGCGACUGUGAACAUGAUUGUCCCCUUAAGCUCCAUAUUCUGGUUAAGCCUUUAUUCUGAACAGAUGUUUGCUCCACAGAUAUUGGGAUAUUCCUGUAUAGUCAACAUAAGCUGAAAACAAAAGAGUAUUCUUUUGUGUGGAUACUGGAGUUUAUGACACAGUUUGUAUAUUGCUUGAACUGCUUAUUGCAAUCAGGUUAAUGUGUUUAUGUGUAAUGUGUAAUCAGGUUAAUCAUAUAUUCUAUGAUUAAAAAUGCAGAUUACGGUCAAUCCAGACCAAUCCAGGAUGUGCUCUUAAAUGUGUCUAAUUUGAGAAUCACAUUGCAAAACAAAAUCUAUGCAUGCCUGAAUGUACAAUAGUAAAUUUCCCAAAAAUAAAUAAUAUAAAUAAAUAAAUAAAUAAAUAAAUAAAUAAAUAAUGUAUAAAUAAAAAAUAUGUACAUACUAAGAAAUGCAAUAUACAUAACUCAUGUCAGACCAACUGAAUUCCCUAAAAGUUGUUUCAACCAGUGGUCAUAAUAAAUAAG